rnacentral:rRNA from 1 species
GGUUAAGCGACUAAGCGUACACGGUGGAUGCCCUGGCAGUCAGAGGCGAUGAAGGACGUGCUAAUCUGCGAUAAGCGUCGGUAAGGUGAUAUGAACCGUUAUAACCGGCGAUUUCCGAAUGGGGAAACCCAGUGUGUUUCGACACACUAUCAUUAACUGAAUCCAUAGGUUAAUGAGGCGAACCGGGGGAACUGAAACAUCUAAGUACCCCGAGGAAAAGAAAUC